rnacentral:lncRNA from 1 species
AAGAUUAGGGGAGUCUGUCAGACAGCCGUGCGACCAUCCCAACCGGAUCACUCCGGCUGAGAACGAUCCUCUACAGCUCAAAUGGAUCCAGCAGGACCCAACAGAGCCGUUAAUCACGCUCUGGAUACACGGCCAUGAUUCAUCCACCAGACUUUGGUUCCUGUCUCCUUAGGUCUCAAGGACACAGAGGUACGAGCCUAUAGAACAGAUCCUGUUCAAGUAAGGUCGUGGCCUAUCCUUCUCACUGCCCUUUUUAAAUACCGAUUAUUCCUCGAGUGCGCUCUCGAUGUGGGACUUUAGGAGGUCGUGCGCGUUAAGCGCACUCAUCCCACAACCUCCCUCCCCUGUUUCUUCUCUCUUUUUUUCCCCGUCUGCUUUUAUGUUUGUUGUGUCGCAGCUUAGCUAGGGGCGAUUUGCAGUGUUCUCAUUUGCAGGUUAUUUGCGUUCAACAGAGAACGUAACUUUUCCUGAGUGUAAAAGUGAACGAUGCUUUGCUGCGACAGACCCGAAGAGUCGUUUGUCUUUUUCGAGUAGGGGAGAGAUGCAUUGUACGGCUGAUAAUCAAUGGAUGCCGAUUGGGCUCGGUAUAAUCCAACACAGUUUUCAAGCCCACUUGAGAGAGAGAGAGAGAGAGAGAGAGAGAGAGGAGGAUACAGAUUAUUAUUUUUAUAAGACUCUUUACCUUUAUCUUGGAGGAUUGUAGGAGGAGACAUGUCACUUCCUCCCUCCUUUCCUCCUCUUUUUUUCUUUCCCUCUUUUUUUUACUAAUUCAUUUCGAUUUUAACUUUAUUUUUCCAAGUAUCAAUAAAAGAUGAAAAUUAUGAGCCAAUUAUAAAAUUAUUUACAAAUAUUUCAAGGCUCAAUAGCUCAUAUUUGCAAGUGUAAUUGUCCGAACGAAUUAGGUUAUGUAUUCAUUUUGAAUAAUUAAUUUUGAACAAAGAUAUUGGUCAACUAGAUAAGCUGAAUCAAAUUAGUAUUUAACAAUAUCAUAUUAAAAUUAGAUUAGUUUCAUAAUUUCCUUAUCUUAGGCCAUCCUCAACUAUCAUAUACUUUUCAUAAUCUUCUUUUCCUUUCAUGACUACAAAAAUAAGCAAUGUUGUUUUCCUUAUAUUUUAUAUUCUAAUUUAAUAUAUAUAUAUACAAAAGAAAUUGCUCAUAUGAUCACCAAAGAUCAAAGAAAUAAUUUCUCAUUUGAAAUUUUACAAAAAUAAAACAAAUGAGAGAAAUUAUGGUUUAUUUUGUAUCUAUGAAAACCAUAAAUAUUACAAAUAAUUUAAAGGAAUUGAUAUUAAGAAAAAUAUCCAAUCUUUCGAAUGUUAUGUGUGUAUACAUAUAUAAGUUUUGCAUCUAAAAGAAAUCAGCAAAUCUCUAUAAGUAAUUUAGAAUAAUUAAUUUCGAAGAAAGAUUCCCAUUUUUAAGUGUUAUGGAGGUAUAUAUUUCAUGGUUCAUUUUGUAUUUAUAUGAAAUCAUAAGAUCUCUACAAGUAACUAAAAAGAAGUAAUUGCAAGGGAAAGAUUCACGCUUCAAAUUAUCUUAUUAUGCAUCCAAACAUGGUAGUAAUCACUUCAUCUUAAUUCUUUUAGAAAAAAACAUUUAUAUACACUUCACAUCAUCUUACUUAGACCACUAACAAAGUAAAGCAUAAAAGUUGAGUACUAUUAGAAGAUAAUAUAAAUAUUUAUGAAAAAAAGUACUUUCAUUAUUGGUCAACCUUACAACAUUAGCCAACAAAAUUAUAUGCGAAGCACGGCUGACAAGACUAGUGAAAUUAAUGAAAAUGAAGAUAGUUGACGAUGAUGCAAAUCAUAAAUUCACACAAGUGAACAGAAUACAAAAUCUUAAUUACUUAUACGAUUAUCCAGCUUGAGAGUAAGAUAGUUUUAGUACUUUUUUUUGCUAUGAUUAUUGGCUUUUAAUCGAAAGGCCAAGCCUCCUCAAAUAUGGUGAUUCGGUCCCGUCUAAUCUAAUAUAUUGUCUGUAGUCAAAGUCGAAGCUGAAAAAAUAGCUGCUCUAAUGCUCUACCACAUGACACUUCAUUUUGCUUCCGAAACUACCAUGUAAAAUUUAUAUAUUCUAUUUAUAUUGAGUUUAAACUUAAAAAAGUAUAAACUAGAGAAAAGUAUUUUAAAUUAAACUCUCCAUUGACAUUUUUUUUUUCAAUGUAAUUUCUUAGACGUAUUUGUAAACAGCAAAAUUUAAGCCAUAAAAUGCUGCAUAUAUAUUUCAGUGCUUAAUUUUGAUUUGCAAGCAUAACUCUCCAAUCAAAUCAGGACAUGUAUACAAGGUAGAACAAUUAAACUUGAACGAGAAUAUCGAUCGAUUGGAUAAGCUAAAUCAAAUUAGCAUUAUCCACAUGAUUUUAACAAUUAAUUCAAUAUUGGUUGAAAAAACUAAAAUUUGGUCUAAUCUUUCUGGAGCAAUGGAAAUUUCGAAUAGUUGACCAUGAUCAUUUUGCACUAUUUGAAUAUAAUCUUUCUAGGAAGAGCUUUCGCCUUGCUUGUAUCGCAAUGUACAUGAAUAGACAAUCGAUAAUGGAAUGAUAAUAUACGAGAUGGAGCUUGGAUAGAGAAAGUGAACUCCACCAUAGUCCAAUGACCCAAAGGCCAUACUCUAAACCCAAAAAAUGUUUAAAUGUUUGAAAUGGACUUUGUGAUGCCCAAAUGCAGGUCCUAGUGGAAGAGAUCCUCUGAUAAUUGAGGGUGGUUUGAGUCUGACCCAAAAGAAAAAACAAAGAAACUUGAACUCAUUCCAAGAUUCAUCCGUUGCGUCUUGUACUAUCUUGAUGUUUGCAUUGGGCUCUUCUCGACCUUCCACUGAUAAAUGUACUGUCUUGAAACAUUGCGCAAGUCAGUUUUUAAGGAGAAAAACGUAUGUUGUGACACGUUCUUCUUGUGAUGGCCACAAAUGAAAACGUGCUCUCCUGAUGACCAAAAAAAAAAAAUUGUACAAUGGCCCAACACUCCAAUGCACUUAUAUGCAGUGUCGGUGGAAUAUAGGUUGGUCUUAAAACUUCAUGGGCAAUGAGUGGUCCAAAGACCAUCCAAUUGAUUGGCUCAUUUUGUAAUUCCCGACAGAUACAAGGCAUCGGCCCAGGAAGAGCAACGUCAACUCCUAAUAGAUUCACUGAACUUUAGGAGCCCAUGAUCAUCCCCUCUGCAUCUUCAAAACCCAGUAAACCAAUAAGACAGCAAAAGAAAGUGCUAAAAUUGGAUGAUGGAUCCACUCAAAUAGAUAAAAUUAUCUCCAACACAACAUGGUAAAAAAAUCUGUCACGGGAUUAAAAUCAACAAUCGCCAUCUCCGAAACAAGCCAAAAAUGACCACAACCACACAUUUUAUGUCCAUUUACCCAGAAAUGUUAUCACUAUCUCUGAAACAACACAAUAAAAGAUCUAUCGCACGGUUGAAAUUAGCAAUCGCUAACUCUUGUUCAUCCAUUGUUGUCCACCAUCAAAAUAGGCAGAAAGUUUGAUGCAACAAGCAAGACACACAUGCUGUAAAUGUCAAGCCUGAACUCGAAUGUUCAGACCAGCGUUUUGGUUAUGGUAGUUUGCACAAACCUUAUGCACAUAAGUUUCCCUUGGUUGUCUUUACCAAUUCAUCGAGCAGUCUGUUGUCAUUAACAAGGCAUCGAAGACCACAUAUCUUCACUAAAGAUGUGAAAUAUGCAUACACCAAAAUACGCACUGACACCGACACCUAGUUCAAUUGGGUCAUUCUACACUGAAGUUAUAAGCAUUCCCUUCAACCAUCCUCUCCACUUGCGACAUAUCAGGAUCCACAUGCCCACCUGUUCCGGCCACGUCACUUUGGACGCAAGUCUCUUCGUAGUUCAUCACCACUGCCAGUCCAAAAUCUGAGAGAGCCACUUGGUAUUUCUCAUCCAACAGUUCAUUCAAAGCUUUAAUAUCUCGAUGGAUGAUCUCGGGAUCGCAGUCUUCAUGCAAGUAAGCUAGCGCCUUGGCAACUCUGGUCGCAACCCUCAUCCUUACUGACCAUUCCAGGGUGGUCCCCCGAUCUAAAAGAUUUGACCAAGAUGAUCUCAAGUGAUGUGCUACGCUUCCUUGAGGCAUAAACGGAUAGACUAGAAAUAGUUCUGUAUGAUGCAAAACCCAAGCAGACCGAGCACAUUGCGGUGCUUGACUAUGCUGCUCACUUUCAGUUCUGUCAGGAACUCUGCGAGGUUGCUUCCUCCCAAUCUCUUGACGGCUACUAAAGAACCGUCCACUAAGCUUCCCUUAUAAACCGUAGAAAAUCCACCCUACCCAGAACACGAGCAAAAUUAUUCGUCAUAAUUUGCACCUCACGUAGAGAAAACCUCUUGGCUAGUCUUAGAUGACUCUGCAGAUCCUCUUGACAAGGUAUACAAUACCCCGGUUGCUUCUUCAGGACUUGCCGCCACCAAGGAAGCUUGCUUGGUGGGGCCAGGCACGAAGAAUCAGAGGGCGCUGCAUCACCUUUCACAAUAGCCCUCACAAACCUCAACUUGCUUUGCCAGAGGACAGCCACAGAGGAGGACUCGCUGGUGGCAACAAGCCCGGGCGGGUAUUGAACCUGUCUUCUAUGUAACUGGAGCCUAGCUUGAACAACAUUUGAAACCCAGAUAAGCAAGUGUCGCUUUGGACCUCUCAGAGUUCUGAUGCAAGAAUCGCUCGAUUGGUGGGAAAAGAUUACGAGAAUGAGAAUGAGGUAGUUGUAUCAAAGUCUUUGAUCCAUCAUUCCAGGCUGAACUGAGGGAAUUACUAAUGGCCAUGGCCACGGAUCAUCUACGUAGCUUCCACAUUUCAGUUCGACUGUUUUUGCCCACCAAUCCCACUCGUUUUGGCAAGUUUUUCAGAGUAUAGACAUCACAACACAAGAGACACCAUUUUUCAUUGAAAUGGUUGAAAGACUUUGAGCCGAUAACUUUAACCAGCCAUUGAUUAAUCAAAGGUUGUGGUUUGAACUUGGAAGUGGUUGAACUUCUAUAAUUCCCAUUUAUGCCUUCGACUCAGAUUCUGGAAAUUACUCUACAAUCAACCGUAAUCUCAAUAACCUCUGUGAAACAGCGGCCAAAGGGUUAAAUAUGAAGUCAGUCCGUCAGACAGACAUGUGACCACUCCAGCCAGAGACUCCAGCGGAGAUCAAUCCUCUUAUGGCUCUGAUGGGUCCAUACUGACCACGCUCCGAUCGUGAUGGUUUUAAUUGAUAUACUUAUGUUAUGAACUCGUUAUGAUUGGCUUUUAAAGGGCCCUCGCAAGUGAAGGUUUGGUCCCAAUUCUGAUGCUGCUGUUUCUUUUGAAUCUUUGAAUACUAGAGUUGCUUGGUUUUGGCCUGAAGGCUAGAUCCAGAUAAGAAGAAUUGGAUCCACGCUAAUACAGACAUGCUCAUACAAUUGGCAAAUGCUUAAUCUAAACAAUCUCAAAAAGACAAUAAUCAAACAGUUGAUAGGAUCGGACACUUUCUGCUGUCUUAAGCACAUGAUAUAUGCUGCGAAAUUAAUCAAGAAGUGGAAAGAUUGGCACAGACUAGUGCUGAUUAAUUCUUGCAUUUCUUGACACUGCUUCAGUGGACGUCCGAAUGGAGCUUGUGUUCUGUGAACCUGAAGGUCAGGUAAGAGAAUAUUUGAGUUUUGUUGUACUCAUGCCAGAAACAUCUGGAGCAGAAUCCUUUUUUCAGAUCAACUUUAAUAGGCAUUUCAAGGAAGCAAAAGAAGAAUCAGACAUCAUGAAGUCCUUAGUGUUCACUGUUCUGGCAUCCGAGAACAUUAAAGACAACUUGGUCGGGACACCGAUUUAAUUUGCCUUUGCCUUUCCCUACAUUCGAUAAAAUAUAUGUAGACCAGAUGAAAAAUGAAACAAAGUUGUUCGUAGCUGCCGAAUUAUAAAUUUUAAUUAUACAGAGAGAGUGUUGCACUUGUCCCGCACUACAACACAUGACAACAGCGAUUUUCCUCUCUUAAAUUGGAAAACAUAAAACUAGAAGGCGAAGAACUUUGGAAAAAUCCACCCCUACCUGGAACGGAACUCGGGAGAACAGUCACGAGUUCCACCUCACGAAGAGAAAACCUUUUUUGACUAGUCUUGCAUGAUUUUGCCGAUGCUCUUCAGGAAGUUCUAUCUUCUUGAGCCAUCCACCAGUGUCCUUUAUCAACUCAGUGAUUCACCUGUAACCAAAUAAAUAAAUAAAUAAAAAGAAAAAAAGAGGGGAGUCUGUCAGACAGCCGUGUGACCAUCCCAGCCCCAGUGGGCUGAGAACGAUCCUCUACAGCUCAAAUGGAUCCAAGCAGGACCCAGAAGAGCCGUUAAUCACGCUCUGGUUACACGGCCAUGGUUCAUCCACCAGACUUUGGUUCCUGUCUCCUUAGGUCUCAAGGACACAGAGGUACGAGCCUAUAGAACAGAUCCUGUUCAAGUAAGGUCGUGACCUACUCCCCUUGCUCCCCUGCUUAAAUACCGAUUGUUCUUCGAGAGCGCUAUCGAUGUGGGACUUUAGGAGGUCACGCGCAUAAAGCGCACUCAACCCACCACCUCCCUCCACCGGUUUCUUCUCUC